rnacentral:lncRNA from 1 species
AAAUGCCCUACACCGAGUGUGGUAUGUGUCUGUUCUUUAGUGGUGGUGACGCACGGUCACGGGCCAGGCAGCCGUGUGCCCAACGCUUCGUUCAAUGUCUUGAGCAUCUCUAGCGACAACCAGUCGUGGUGCGACGUGGAGCAUUUCCUUGUCCUCGGGACCCCUCCAUUCCAUCCAAAGAAUCCACACUCACAAUUCCUUAGAA